rnacentral:lncRNA from 1 species
GAUUUAAGGUUUGUGAAUUGACAAAUAAUGCAGAAAGAAAUUUCAAAGAGGCUGAACAAUGAUGUAACAACUACACUUUCAAAACUAUAGACCUACAACAGUUUGUUUAAAAGCGUAACUGAUUAAAAGAAUGAGAUUGCCAAAAGAAAACACAGCACGACCACUGCUUAACUGAACCACAUUCUCAACACACAAACAUAAACGUAGUGAUCCUAUACAUCCAUCAUAUUCUUUUUCUCUGUUUCCAUAUCCCUGAUCCCAAUUCUUUAUCCCAUCCUUUCAGUGUUGUUUUUUGCUCACUCUCAAUGUCACGCCCCUAUCUCGACAUACGUCCAGGCUCGACACAUGACGUCACCAACUACUCGUAUCUCUAACAUAUCCCGCCACCAGGAUAUGCAAAACACAACUCGAGAACCAAUUGCGUAAUAAAUUUUUGUAUACUUUAUGGUUGCAUCUAACCUCUUCGUUAGACUGUCUACGUACCCUCAAUAGAGAUCAAGCCAUUCGUAGUUCAACUUCGCUAUAACUCGACAUAUAACACAAUCUAUUCAAGCCAAAAUGCAUAACAUUCCUCAAUCAAACAUUUGGACUUGACGAGCAUGAAUUAUUCGAUUCAAACUACAUAACAACCCGCAUGACAAUCAAGGUUUCUAUUUCAUCCAUCAUAUACAUCAUUAUGUUUCAACAUAAAAUCACUAUUCAUAUCAAGUAAUAUAUCAAAGAAUCAAUAAAGCACAAUAGUAUCCUCUAGUCGCAUUGAUCACUGAUCUAAUCAUUAUAAUAACAAUCAUAUUCAACAUCCUUCCACAAUCAUCUCAAGUAACCCAUUCCAUGAUAUCAAGGAUGCACGAUAUUAACAUUUAAUUAUGUUAAUCAGUCAAUCAGAUCACAUCUCAAUGCACAAAAUUAAUAAAGGACUUCUAUAUAAUUCCCCUGGAUUUCAAGUAAUAACUUGAUAAUUCAAAUUUAUAUUCACAAAAUUUAUUGUGGGUAAUUCUCAUUCACUCGAAUCCAAGGUACAAGUCUAACUUAUAGAAAUGAGCAAGAGUAGGGAUUCCAGACCACUCAACGGAAUCCAAAUCAAGAUACGAUUCCAGACCACUCAACGGAAUCCAACCACAUCGGCUUCCGGAUCACUUAACGGAACCAAAAUUAUCCAUCGGUUUCUUGCAUGUAAAAUUAGUGACAUCGAUGACAAUCUAUAAACAUCAAGUAUAGAAUUAUGCUUUAUGAAAUCAUAAUCAAGUCACUGACAACUUCGAAGGAGUCACCCAGACAUCCAACGACUUUUUUAAUUUAAAGCACAAGAUUCUCAAAAUCCAUCGUUCAUAUGUACAUUAAAAACUAGGGCUAGAUGGACGCAGUUCGGCCGAAGCCUACAUCUUUGAAGCUAUCUCAAUCCAAACUCAAUGAAACCCGAGGUGGAUACGACCCCGGACCAUCACUCAAAAAAAUCACGGAGUAGGAGGGAUUCCGGACCAUCUCUCAACGGAAUCCAAGUGGAUACGAUUUCGGACCAUCACUCAACAGAAUCGCGGAAGGCCAACAACCAUAUAUACAAUGACUCAAAGAAAUGAGACAAGCACAAGUUACUUAAUUUACAAAAGCUUAACCAAGGGAAAUAAGGCACAAAUACUAAAUUUAGAACGAAUCAACGAAGUGGAAGAUGAAACCAUAUCGAAUCAACAAAUCCCCAUCACCACAGUUUAACGGUCUACCACUAGUCCUCACAUUUCAUCACAACAGGCCAAUCAAACCAAUCAAACCAAUCAAACCAUAUUUCAAUAUAUAUACAUGUCAAAUCUCAUUUCAUAAACCUAAAUUAAUAAAGGACUUCUAUAUAAUUCUCUGCCUGGAUUUCAAGUAAUAACUUGAUAAUUCAAAUUUAUAUUCACAAGAUUUAUUGUGGGUAAUUCUCAUUCACUUGAAUCCAAGGUACAAGUCUAACUUAUGGAAAUGAGCAAGAGUAGGGAUUCCAUACCACUCAACGGAAUCCAACCACAUCGGGUUCC